GACUAGAUAGCUCAGUGGUAAAGCUGCUAGUACAUGUCCAGGAGGUCCUGGGUUCAAUCCCCAAUCUGGCCA